ensembl:ncRNA W03G9.11 ncRNA
UUUGAAAUAAAUGCCAACUGUGGACAUCAAAAUCCAAAUAAAAUAGAUUUUUCUUCAUUUUAUGAGCAUAUGUUCGAAAAGAUGGAAAGAAAUAGAAAGAUGGAAAGACUAGCGUAAUUUAAUUUGUCAAAAAG